UAAUGGACAAACUUAGUCAUAAAUAAGAGUAAAGUUAGUCAAUUACCCUUCCUCGUUAAGAUUUCUUAAGGGACGUGUAUAGCAAAAAAACAACAAAUAAUUUGAGAUGGACAAAGUAUCAAAAUUUACCAUUUUCUGGUCAUUAUUUAGCUUCUCAUCAUGUGCUUCUUGUAUCAUCUGUGUCAUCUUUGAUAGCAUGAUACCUUUUGGACAGUUUAAUAUGUGAAGAGUUUUUGUUCUUUAAAUUGUUUGUGGAAAUUCUACAUUGAACCGAGCUCUUUCGAUCUAUUACAGUGAUUAUCCAUCUUCCUGUCUUAUAUUAUAUAUUUGCGCUUGAACGCAGUGAAGCUUACCCCUAUGUUGUGGCAUGUACAGAUGUUAUCGAGAGGCUUAACGUUUUGAGAGGCCGAGAAAUGGCUUCGUUGUACUCUUGGUCUUACAAGCGAAACUACAAGAAUGGAUUCGUCUGGCAUGAUCUUUGUGAAGUUGACCUCAUUCUUUCUGCUCAUGGUAAUGAAUAUGUUCUUAAAGGCUCAGAGCUUUUCAAUGAUCUGAUGCAGGUAUAUUAUACCUUCUUUAUAGCAACGUAUGAUUUGAACCACAUGAUUGUUAGUGUAAUUGCAAGUGUCACUGCAAGAAAUAAGAACAGUGGAUGAG